rnacentral:rRNA from 1 species
AGCUCGUGCCGUCGAGGUGUCGGGUUAAGGUACCCACUAACGAGCGCAACCCUACCCUUUACGUUUGCCAUCAGGUAAUGCUGGGGACUCUAAAGGAACUGCCUACGCAAGUAGUGAGGAAGGCGGGGAUGACGUCAAAUCAGCACGGCCCUUACGUCCAGGGCUACACACGUGCUACAAUGGCCGAUACAGAGGGCAGCUACCUGGUGACAGGAUGCAAAUCUCCAAAGUCGGUCUCAGUUCGGAUCGGAGUCUGCAACCCGACUCCGUGAAGUUGGAUUCGCUAGUAAUCGCGCAUCAGCCAUGGCGCGGUGAAUACGUUCCCGGGCCUU